UACAGAGGUCUCAAGCGUUGUUCGGAAUCAUUGGGCGUAAAGAGCGUGUAGGCGGUCCGGUAAGUCGGCUGUGAAAGUCCAGGGCUCAACCCUGGGAUGCCGGUCGAUACUGCCGGACUAGAGUUCGGAAGAGGCGAGUGGAAUUCCCGGUGUAGCGGUGAAAUGCGCAGAUAUCGGGAGGAACACCUAUGGCGAAGGCAGCUCGCUGGGACGUUACUGACGCUGAGACGCGAAAGCGUGGGGGAGCAAACAGG
rnacentral:rRNA from 1 species